rnacentral:misc_RNA from 1 species
CGUGUUUCAGUUGGACAGGUUGACGCGCCAGAGGACGUAUCUCCUUCCAAACAGCAGUUCUUUGAGAUGGUGUCCAAGAAAAUUGGUUGUUUACUUCCUACUCCAAAAGCUAAGAAGAGGAGAGAACCUGCCAUCCCUUCGCAGGGACUCCGUCGUAGUCGACGGGUGGCUGGUCUAGGCGCUGAGCACAUUCCACAGAUCCCCAGGGCCAGGAUUUUGGUGAUGAAGGCUAUCCAUAAUACUUCAGACACGAAUCAGCUCAACAGUGAGGAUCUGGAGACUUAUGCCAAGCUGUUCUGCCAUCCUCU